ensembl:snoRNA U3 Small nucleolar RNA U3
AAGACUAUACUUUCCGGAAUUGUUUCUAUAUAAUUUGUUACUGGAGAAUUUUCUCUGAACAUACCGAAAACACUGAAAACCUCAUGGAGGCACAGCGUUCCCCUGAGUCUGUGGCUGGCUCUUGGUCUUUUUUCUGUAACUGUCAUUUGCCAUUGAUAAUUCUUCUCUUCCUUUGGGAGAGGAAGAGGAGGAGGAUGGCUCCCAAGUGGU